AUUGAACGCUGGCGGCAGGCCUAACACAUGCAAGUCGAGCGAGCGGCGGACGUGUGAGUCAUGUCUGUGAAACUGCCUUAUGGCGGGGGUUAACUACUGGAAACGGUAGCUAAUACCGCAUACCAUAAGAUGUGCCCAGAUGGGAUUAGCUAGUAGGUGGGUUAACGGAUAACCUAGGCGACGAUCCCUAGCUGGUCUGAGAGGAUGACCAGCCACACUGGACCGGAGAAACGGUCCAGACUCCUACGGGAGGCAGCAGUGGGGAAUAUUGCACAAUGGGCGAAAGCCUGAUGCAGCCAUGCCGCGUGUAUGAAGAAGGCCUUCGGGUUGUAAAGUACUGUCAGCGGGGAGGCGGUACCAGCAGAAGAAGCACCGGCUAACUCCGUGCCAGCAGCCGCGGUAAUAC
rnacentral:rRNA from 1 species